CAGGCCUAACACAUGCAAGUCGAGCGCCCCGCAAGGGGAGCGGCAGACGGGUGAGUAACGCGUGGGAACCUACCCUUUCCUGCGGAAUAGCUCCGGGAAACUGGAAUUAAUACCGCAUACGCCCUUUGGGGGAAAGAUUUAUCGGGGAAGGAUGGGCCCGCGUUGGAUUAGCUAGUUGGUGGGGUAAAGGCCUACCAAGGCGACGAUCCAUAGCUGGUCUGAGAGGAUGAUCAGCCACAUUGGGACUGAGACACGGCCCAAACUCCUACGGGAGGCAGCAGUGGGGAAUAUUGGACAAUGGGCGCAAGCCUGAUCCAGCCAUGCCGCGUGAGUGAUGAAGGUCUUAGGAUUGUAAAGCUCUUUCACCGGGGACGAUAAUGACGGUACCCGGAGAAGAAGCCCCGGCUAACUUCGUGCCAGCAGCCGCGGUAAU
rnacentral:rRNA from 1 species